GUCACUGGAGGCUGAGUGGGAAACCUGGACUUGUAGCUACACCUUGGAGGAACUAGACAGUGCCCCUAAGUCCCCCACUAGAUCGAUGUCAGAGAAAGUCAGCUAAAACAGAAAGUUUAAAAAAGA